AUUGAACGCUGGCGGCAGGCUUAACACAUGCAAGUCGAGCGAGCGGCGGACGGGUGAGUAAUGUCUGGGAAACUGCCUGAUGGAGGGGGAUAACUACUGGAAACGGUAGCUAAUACCGCAUACCAUAAGCUUUGCCAAGAUGGGAUUAGCUCGUGGGUGGGGUAAUGGCUCACCUAGGCGACGAUCCCUAGCUGGUGUGAGAGGAUGACCAGCCACACUGGAACUGCGACACGGUCCAGACUCCUACGGGAGGCAGCAGUGGGGAAUAUUGCACAAUGGUCGCAAGCCUGAUGCAGCCAUGCCGCGUGUGUGAAGAAGGCCUUCGGGUUGUAAAGCACUUUCAGCGAGGAGGCGUUACUCGCAGAAGAAGCACCGGCUAACUCCGUGCCAGCAGCCGCGGUAAUAC
rnacentral:rRNA from 1 species